rnacentral:rRNA from 1 species
UACAGGGGAUGCAAGUGUUAUUCGGAAUUAUUGGGCGUAAAGCGUCUGUAGGUUGAAAGGUAAGUCUUUUGUCAAAUCUUUGAGCUCAACUUGAAGGCUGCAAACGAAACUGCUUUUCUAGAGAUAGCAAGAGGCAAAGGGAAUUUCUAAUGGAGUGGUGAAAUAUUUUGAUAUUAGAAGGAACACCAAAGGCGAAAGCACUUUGCUGGGGGCUAAAACUGACACUGAGAGACGAAAGCUAGG